UUGAGAGACAAUAGUUCCAAUGAUUGCUGUCAUGAAAGAUCAUAAUUUUGGGAGAUUUUCACUUCCUGAAAUUAUUUUUACUCUGUCUCUCUUACUUUCGUUUUGACUUUCAUCUUCAGAGGAUCGAGAGGAGAAUCAUGAAGUAUUGUGUUCUAUCUAAAGACAAUUCAAAGAAAUGGGCCCUGUUCGUCCUGCUCCUCUUUCUCCUGCAACUUCCAGACUGCACUGCUCCCGCCUGCGCAUCUUGCCGCGUAGCGUUCCUCAACAGAAUGUGCUGCGCCAUUUUUCAGAUGUGUUGCGAUGCAUCUAACAAUGGGGGAGGUACUGGCGGGAUGCCCGGAAGAGGAGGAGGCAUGGGGCUACCCAUGGGAGCAGGUAUGCUUCCGGGGUGAUGAGCUUCCUAAUCAAACGACAAUUUUCAUAAUCAUUUAAAAAAAAAUUAUGCUGAAUAAUGCUGCGAUAUGGCGGUUAUUUCUACAAUGUACAAAAAAAACAUCAAAUAAAAAUAUAAGUUUUACUAA